UGCUGUCAAUCCUCAGCCGGGCC
rnacentral:piRNA from 1 species